GGGUAGUAAAGAGCGCGUAGGCGGUUUUUAAGUCAGAGGUGAAAGCCCGGGGCUCAACCCCGGAAUGCCUUGAAACUGGAAAAACUUGAAUCUUGGAGAGGUCAGUGGAAUUCCGAGUGUAGAGGUGAAAUUCGUAGAUAUUCGGAAGAACACCAGUGGCGAAGGCGACUGACUGGACAAGUAUUGACGCUGAGGUGCGAAAGCGUGGGGAGCGAAACAGGGAUUAGAUACCCCUGGUAGUCCACGCCGUAAACGAGUGAUAAACUAGCUGUCCGGGUUCCAUAGAACUUGGUGGCGCAGCUAACGCAUUAAGUUAUCCGCCUGGGAGUACGGUCGCAAGAUUAAAACU
rnacentral:rRNA from 1 species